rnacentral:rRNA from 1 species
UACGUAGGGGGCAAGCGUUGUCCGGAUUUACUGGGCGUAAAGAGCGUGUAGGCGGCUCGAUAAGUCUGCUGUGAAAGUCCAGGGCUCAACCCUGGAAGGCCGGUGGAAACUGUCGGGCUAGAGUCCGGAAGAGGCGAGUGGAAUUCCCGGUGUAGCGGUGAAAUGCGCAGAUAUCGGGAGGAACACCAAUGGCGAAGGCAGCUCGCUGGGACGGUACUGACGCUGAGACGCGAAAGCGUG